AGUGAACGCUGGCGGUAGGCCUAACACAUGCAAGUCGAACGGCAGCACAGUAAGAGCUUGCUCUUACGGGUGGCGAGUGGCGGACGGGUGAGGAAUACAUCGGAAUCUACUUUUUCGUGGGGGAUAACGUAGGGAAACUUACGCUAAUACCGCAUACGACCUACGGGUGAAAGCAGGGGAUCUUCGGACCUUGCGCGAUUGAAUGAGCCGAUGUCGGAUUAUCUAGUUGGCGGGGUAAAGGCCCACCAAGGCGACGAUCCGUAGCUGGUCUGAGAGGAUGAUCAGCCACACUGGAACUGAGACACGGUCCAGACUCCUACGGGAGGCAGCAGUGGGGAAUAUUGGACAAUGGGCGCAAGCCUGAUCCAGCCAUACCGCGUGGGUGAAGAAGGCCUUCGGGUUGUAAAGCCCCUUUGUUGGGAAAGAAAAGCAGCAGGUUAAUACCCCGCUGUUCUGACGGUACCCAAAGAAUAAGCACCGGCUAACUUCGUG
rnacentral:rRNA from 1 species